AUUGAACGCUGGCGGCAGGCUUAACACAUGCAAGUCGAGCGAGCGGCGGACGGGUGAGUAAUGUCUGGGAAACUGCCUGAUGGAGGGGGAUAACUACUGGAAACGGUAGCUAAUACCGCAUACCAUCAGAUGUGCCCAUAUGGGAUUAGCUAGUAGGUGGGGUAAUGGCUCACCUAGGCGACGAUCCCUAGCUGGUCUGAGAGGAUGAACGGCAAAACGGGAACGGGGAAACGGCCCAGACGCCUACGGGAGGCAGCAGUGGGGAAUAUUGCACAAGGGGCGCAAGCCGGAUGCAGCCAUGCCGCGUGUGUGAAGAAGGCCUUAGGGUUGUAAAGCACUUUCAGCGGGGAGGCGUUACCCGCAGAAGAAGCACCGGCUAACUCCGUGCCAGCAGCCGCGGUAAUUC
rnacentral:rRNA from 1 species